rnacentral:rRNA from 1 species
GAUGAACGCUGGCGGCGUGCCUAAUACAUGCAAGUCGAACGCUGAAGGAAGGAGCUUGCUCUUUCCGGAUGAGUUGCGAACGGGUGAGUAACGCGUAGGAAACCUGCCUGGUAGCGGGGGAUAACUAUUGGAAACGAUAGCUAAUACCGCAUAACAGUAGAUGUUGCAUGAUAUCUACUUAAAAGGUGCAAUUGCACCACUACCAGAUGGACCUGCGUUGUAUUAGCUAGUUGGUGAGGUAACGGCUCACCAAGGCGACGAUACAUAGCCGACCUGAGAGGGUGAUCGGCCACACUGGGACUGAGACACGGCCCAGACUCCUACGGGAGGCAGCAGUAGGGAAUCUUCGGCAAUGGACGGAAGUCUGACCGAGCAACGCCGCGUGAGUGAAGAAGGGUGUCGGAUCGUAAAGCUCUGUUGUAAGAGAAGAACGAGUGUGAGAGUGGAAAGUUCACACUGUGACGGUAUCUUACCAGAAAGGGACGGCUAACUACGUG